UCCGGUUUGUCACCGGCAGUCUCAUUAGAGUGCCCUUUCGUAGCAACUAAUGACAAGGGUUGCGCUCGUUGCGGGACUUAACCCAACAUCUCACGACACGAGCUGACGACGGCCAUGCAGCACCUGUGUUCUGGCUCUCUUUCGAGCACUUUCGCAUCUCUGCAAAAUUCCAGACAUGUCAAGGGUAGGUAAGGUUUUUCGCGUUGCGUCGAAUUAAACCACAUGCUCCACCGCUUGUGCGGGCCCCCGUCAAUUCCUUUGAGUUUUAAUCUUGCGACCGUACUCCCCAGGCGGAGAGCUUAAUGCGUUAGCUGCGCCACCGAACAGUAUACUGCCCGACGGCUAGCUCUCAUAGUUUACGGCGUGGACUAC
rnacentral:misc_RNA from 1 species